UGGGUCAUAGUUCAAUUGGUAGAACACUGGUCUCCAAAACCAGUUGUUGUGGGUUCAAAUCCUGCUGACUCAG
rnacentral:tRNA from 1 species